rnacentral:rRNA from 1 species
GACGAACGCUGGCGGCGUGCUUAACACAUGCAAGUCGAACGGAAAGGCCCUGCUUGCAGGGUACUCGAGUGGCGAACGGGUGAGUAACACGUGGGUGAUCUGCCCUGCACUUCGGGAUAAGCUUGGGAAACUGGGUCUAAUACCGGAUAGGAACCAUCUUUAGUGUGGUGGUUGGAAAGUUUUUUCGGUGUAGGAUGAGCUCGCGGCCUAUAAGCUUGUUGGUGGGGUAAUGGCCUACCAAGGCGGCGACGGGUAGCCGGCCUGAGAGGGUGUACGGCCACAUUGAGACUGAGAGACGGCCCAGACUCCUACGGGAGGCAGCAGUGGGGAAUAUUGGACAAUGGGCGCAAGCCUGAUGCAGCGAGGCCGCGUGGGGGAUGAAGGCCUUCGGGUUGUAAACUCCUUUCGCUAGGGACGAAGCGUUGUUGUGACGGUACCUAGAUAAGAAGCACCGGCUAACUACGUG